rnacentral:rRNA from 1 species
GAUGAACGCUGGCGGCGUGCCUAAUACAUGCAAGUCGAGCGAACAGACGAGGAGCUUGCUCCUCUGACGUUAGCGGCGGACGGGUGAGUAACACGUGGAUAACCUACCUAUAAUACUGGGAUAACUUCGGGAAACCGGAGCUAAUACCGGAUAAUAUAUUGAACCGCAUGGUUCAAUAGUGAAAGACGGUUUUGCUGUCACUUAUAGAUGGAUCCGCGCCGCAUUAGCUAGUUGGUAAGGUAACGGCUUACCAAGGCAACGAUGCGUAGCCGACCUGAGAGGGUGAUCGGCCACACUGGAACUGAGACACGGGCCAGACUCCUACGGGAGGCAGCAGUAGGGAAUCUUCCGCAAUGGGCGAAAGCCUGACGGAGCAACGGCGCGUGAGUGAGGAAGGUCCUCGGAUCGUAAAACUCUGUUAUUAGGGAAGAACAAAUGUGUAAGUAACGAUGCACGUCGUGACGGUACCUAAGCAGAAAGACACGGCUAACUACGUG